GUGCUCACCUUGGCAGCACAUAUACUAAAACUGGAAUAAUACAGAGAAGAUUACUGUGGCCCCGGUGCAAGGAUGGUAUGCAAAUUCAUGAAGCCUUCCACAUUUUU
rnacentral:snRNA from 1 species